GACGAACGCUGGCGGCGUGCUUAACACAUGCAAGUCGAACGGUGAAGCGCCUUCCUUUUUGGUGGGUGUGGAUGAGUGGCGAACGGGUGAGUAACACGUGAGUAACCUGCCCCCUUCUUCUGGAUAACCGCAUGAAAGUGUGGCUAAUACGGGAUAUUCUGGGUCUGUCGCAUGAUGGGUCUGGGAAAGAUAUUGUUUCGGUGGGGGAUGGGCUCGCGGCCUAUUAGCUUGUUGGUGGGGUGAUGGCCUACCAAGGCGGUGACGGGUAGCCGGCCUGAGAGGGUGGACGGUCACACUGGGACUGAGACACGGCCCAGACUCCUACGGGAGGCAGCAGUGGGGAAUAUUGCACAAUGGGCGCAAGCCUGAUGCAGCGACGCCGCGUGAGGGAUGGAGGCCUGCGGGUUGUGAACCUCUUUCGCCAGUGAAGCAGGCCUGCCUCGUUUGUGGGUGGGUUGACGGUAGCUGGAUAAGAAGCGCCGGCUAACUACGUG
rnacentral:rRNA from 1 species